GAGGCCUUAGAAGGUAUUUGGCUGAUAACAGCCAAAGCGCUCUUACACUGGAGGGAGAGGUUGGAAAGAGCUUUGUUGUUGACCUCUGCCCAGGUGUGGCUGUAGGGGUAAAUUCAAUAUUGGUCUUCUGGAGAGGAAAAUGUUGAUUUUGUGUUCUUUAGUUCACCCACUGUUGCUGGAGAAGACAAUGCUUGUGUUUUAGCCACUUCACCACUGCUGUUUAUCCUUUUGUCUCCACUGCUUUAUCUUUUCAGCAUUCCUGAGUUCUUCCUUGGUCCUCCCAGAUGUCAUCACUGAAUCUGUAAUUCAAAAGUUUGGGUAAAGAUGACAGGAACACUACAGAGAGCAGCACAGACCCUGUGAAGGCACCUGAAAGUGAACUCUAAAGAUCAAGACUAGGUUUCAGGAAGAGGAGAAUGGGUCAGAAAGUCCAGAUUCUGAAUAAUAAGAAGGAACACUCAUUAAGGGCUUGGGUUAUUUGAUAAUAACCACGUGAGGUUGCUUCAGCAGAGCUGAAAUAUUACAAAAUAUUAGAGAAACUCCUGGAGAGAUGGUUUAGCAGUCAAAGCUGCAUGAGGAAGGGGGAAUUAUAGGGAAGACGGCACAAGGCUUCUCUCUGAGAUGAGCACCAACAGGACGACAGACAAAAGCGAGAAGUUGCACCCAGAGAGAUUUCAGUUGUGUAUAAGAAAAACAAAAGUUCAAAGUGAGAGUGGUCAAGUAGUGGAACACUUUCCCAGAAUGGCUGUGGACUUUCCAUCCAUGAAGAUAAAACUAGGCUGGAUAAGGUUUUAAGCAACCUAGUUUAGCUUCGAAGAUAACCUUGUUUGGAGCAGAAGGUAAAAGAACAUCCAGAUGUGUACUAGAUUAAAUGUGUUCCAAUACUCGAAUCACAGGAAAAAGAGUAUGCUGAGAGAAGAAAGAAGUCUGACUUGUAUGUUGGUAUUCACCUUAGUUUAUGUGUUGGGAAGAGCAUACUUGAAAGACGACAGAAGUUUCAUGAUUAGCUUAAGCCAAUCUGAGACUGUACUGCUGCCAAAGGGACAUUCCUCCUCCUUCUUACAUCAGACCAGGCACCCACAUGACCAUACAAUAAACUGAUCCAACUGAAAACCAGCCCUGGGAAAAAGAAAAAAAAAGAAGAAGCAGAUAGUAGUUUUUGAUUGAGUCUGGAAGUUAAGCAAGCUCACUGUUCCGUCUGAAGGUUGCUGGGGCUAAGGAAGUGGAUGGACUGGGAACAAGCAGCUAGAGGGACAGAGAGGUUAGAAAAUUGCCCUCAGUGGCAGUGAGAUUCAGCAGAAGCUGGAACUCAUUUCUUUCAAAUUUUUAAGAAAAAAUUCUCUGCAAAAUGAAAAUGAAACACAAAAUAUAUUAUCUCGUGGUUCUUUGAAUAUUGGUUUAAAUGUAAUCUGUGAGGAUGGAUCUGAUUCAAAAGCCUUAAUGUGAGUGGUUCACACUCAUGAAACACCUGUGGGUACACUCAGAAAAGUAAAACCUAUUAUUUGUAUAUAUAAUAUGUAUGCAUUAUUUGUAUUUUAGACACACUUCAGGAUUGGAUCCUCAUUUGAUAAUAUACAAAGAAAAGUAACGUUGCAGUUUGAUAGACACUUUAAGAAAUCUAUUAAUUAGGCUGUAUUUCUAUUACAGCCAAGGACCAGAAAGAUGAAAAAAUGUGUUCAAACCUUACUGAGAUGGUCACCAUAUAAUUUUUUUCCUGCCCUGCAUGCCUGACCUUGGAUUUCUAUUCUUCUAAAUUUAAAAUCCUUCUUUGAAAAAUCAGACCACAGAGAGAGACAAUGCAACUAAGAAGACAACCUGGGUCUGAGACAUGACUGCUCAUUCUGUGGCUUUUGGUUACAGGUGUGUGCCACGGAGUAAGAACAGCAGUCCCUUCUGGAAAUGGCUUGGGAAUACCUCCUUGUAUGGAGGAAGCAGGAGCAUUUGUGAGAUUUUGAAGACAGAAGAGUGAAAGAUGAGGUGCUAAAUCUGAGACUGUGGCUGUUAAAAUGAGCUGCUGAACACCAGAGAGCAAGGAUUACUGCAUUACCUAACAGACUGCUGCAGAACCUCUGAGCUUUUUAUUUCCAGUAAUAAAAAAGAAAUCCAUGUGCGUCUCAACA